UGAUUUCGUCCAUAGGUCAAAAUGGUCAAAUUUGCCUCCGCUCACAAGGGCCUGUCGUUGCUGUGGGAGCCUCUGACCGCACCAUCCCUGUUCUUUUUCUUCUUCUACUACCUACUGCUGCCGUUGCUUGGUCUCUCAAGGGCACCUACUGCUGACAGAAGGCGAAAGGGCUGGUAUGAUAAAGAGACCACUCUUCUGGUUCUUAUAGGUUGCUCUCUAAUGGAAGUUCUGCCAUUCAGGGCACAGCAUGGAGCUCUGGGGUGGGUAGAAGCCAACAUAUAUAGGCAUUGUUGAAUUUUGUCGAUUAAUUUAUUAACCAUCAGGGGACUUCCUGCUCCGCUCGCAAGGACCUGCCGUUGCCGUGGGAGCCUCCGACCGCACCAUCCUUGUUCUUCUUCUUCUACUACCCACUGCUAUCGUUGUUUGGUCUCUCAAGGGCACCCACUGCAGCACUGUUGACAGACGGCGAAGGGCUGGUAUGAUGAGGAAACUGCACUUCUGGUUCUAUGGGUUGCUCUCUAAUGGAAGGUGUGCUUUGUGUGUUGUUUUCAUGAAGCGGUUCUGCCUGGAUUCAUUGCUGGAGUCCCUGUGCGCCUCCAGGCCCGCUGCUGAGCUGUGCCUGGCACGCCUCACGACCUCAGUGUGGCUUGAUGGGUUACUGAAUGGGUACCGCCCUGCCCCUUUGGCACUGACACCGAUGGAAGAGCAGUUACUGCAUCAUAACCUUCAUGUUCGACAACAAUGGUUUUGUGAAGCUGCUCCACCACUACUCAAUUUUGGAAACCCUGGACGCUUGAGCAUGUGUCGCUGAUCUUUGGCCCCCACACCUUCGUUCGGCUUUGCUGGUGUGGUGAUUGAACUACGGUCACCGCUGUACCCCUUCGGCUUUGGUGCCAACGCCAACGGGAUGGCGUGUGCCAUAGCCUCCAUGUCUGGCUACUAUAUCUUGUCUGACUGCCUCCUCCCUGGCCACUAACCCGGCUUCACCGGCAGCGUGAUGGCAGCGGGUUGGCAACAAUUGUGGUGUUCGGCCACCUCUUCCUCAUUUCUCGCAUAAAGGGCACUGCUGCCCUCUCCAGGAAUUCUGCCGUCGAUGACCAUGACAAUGGUUUGGCUGCAACGUGGGGGUGGUGGCGACCCCAUCCUUGGUUCUGGCUUUUAUAUAAAGGGCUCUGCUGCUCCCUCAAGGAAUUCUGCUGUGUGAUGACAAUGGUUUGGCUGCAACCUGGGGGUGGUGGUGACCUCAUCCUUGGUUCUGAAAAAGUAGCUGAUUCUUUGAGGUCGCCUAACCUUCUGCAACUGCAGCAGAGGUGCUACCUCUUCCUCGGUUUGGGUGUGCUUUGUGUGUUGUUUUCAGUGAAGUGGUUCUACCUAGAUUCAUUGCUGGAGUCCCUGCCUGCCUCCAGACCUACUGCUGAGCUGUGCCCACCACACCUCAGUGUGGCUUGAUGGGGUGAUGAUUGAAUGGGCACCGCUGCGCCCCUUUGGCGCCGACACCGACACCGACACCGACAGGAGUGCGGUGGUUGCGUCACAACCUUCAUGUUUGGCUACAAUGGUUCUGGUGAGUCUCCCUAGUCUCCUCCUUCUCUGUGCCCUAGGAUGGACCGGUCAUCGAGCCUUGGCCGGUUGUCGUGCUGGCCGUUGAGACAAUGAUAUAGGGUCUCCAGUUCCGUUGUCAUGCUGUCUGUGGUGGUGGUCUUUUGGCCACAACAAUCUUGUGAUUGUGAUGAGCUUUUCUGUUGAGAUUGGCCCUUGUGCUACUGUAUAUGCUAUUUGCUGGGGUUUGAUAAUUUUA